rnacentral:ncRNA from 2 species
AUUAUAGUGACCGGCGAUGGUUCCCUGCCGGUCAAGAUCCCGGCGGGGUGAAAAUGGGAACACGGUCAAGGCUCCGAUUCGGGGCCAAAUCCGGGACUGCCCCCGCAACUGUAGGCGGAGAGGGUCCGACCCCCACAGCCACUGACCGCUCAUCCGGUUGGGAAGGCCGGGUCGAAUCCGUUGACCCGCAAGUCAGGAGACCUGCCAUCACGAGAGUCGUCGC